AGUGAACGCUGGCGGUAGGCCUAACACAUGCAAGUCGAACGGCAGCACAGUAAGAGCUUGCUCUUACGGGUGGCGAGUGGCGGACGGGUGAGGAAUACAUCGGAAUCUACUUUUUCGUGGGGGAUAACGUAGGGAAACUUACGCUAAUACCGCAUACGACCUACGGGUGAAAGCAGGGGAUAUUCGGACCUUGCGCGAUUGAAUGAGCCGAUGUCGGAUUAGCUAGUUGGCGGGGUAAAGGCCCACCAAGGCGACGAUCCGUAGCUGGUCUGAGAGGAUGAUCAGCCACACUGGAACUGAGACACGGUCCAGACUCCUACGGGAGGCAGCAGUAGGGAAUAUUGCGCAAUGGGCGCAAGCCUGAUCCAGCCAUACCGCGUGGGUGAAGAAGGCCUUCGGGUUGUAAAGCCCUUUUGUUGGGAAAGAAAAGCAGCAUGUUAAUACCCCGCUGUUCUGACGGUACCCAAAGAAUAAGCACCGGCUAACUUCGUG
rnacentral:rRNA from 1 species